CAUAUCGUAUCGGGAGAACCGGCCAGUCCGGUGCCGAAGGAGCAACCGCCCCGGAAACUCUCAGGCCCAAGGGACCGAUGCGAUUUC
rnacentral:ncRNA from 2 species